GGCUCUUCGUUGAUGGCUUUUUGAUAGCAUCCUGCUUACUUGUUUAUUUUUAAGCCUGAGGAAAAUAUUUCCUUCCUCAAACCCAGCUAGGACAAUAGGACGAACCAUAAACAGGGAAAGCUCCAUGAUCUACAAAACAGUCUGACUUUUCUUAACCCCUGCAAGAUCAAGAAAAGUGACAUAUCUUGACCUGGACUUUUUGGAUCUUAUUGUUGAUUGUUUAUUCCACUUUGUCCACAAGAUGUCAAAAUACUUGGCCUGGGAAGUCAAUGCCAUUUCCAAAUCAGUCAGAUCAAAGAGGACGAAGGAGUCAAACAGUUAAAUGAGACUCUGACUAUCUUAUAGAGACAGGAUGUCUGCAGUGGCUACUGCUAUGUUAAUGGAUUCUUCUGGAAAUGUCAAGAUUGAUUAUCCACCCAAGGUAUGGUCCAUAAAUCUGCUCACCACCCAUGCUUCCCCCAGAGAAGCCUAAGAAUAAAAGGAGCUUGAAGAAAGCAGCCCUUGACAGCCUCCAGGAAUGGCUACGCUUUUGUUCCCAGAUCACUUAAAUUUCUAUGGCCCACUUACUGAGUUUCCAACAUUUAUGGAGUCUUUAUCCCUCUGAAAUACUUGGAACGUAGCCAUCACCUUAUUUGCUCAAGAGGCUCAGGACCAAGAAGAAUAAGUCAAGGGGCCUGAAGUUAAAAGGAAGUUGGAACUUUUCUCUGACCUUUUGUGACCUUGAGAUCCACAAAGAAGUGAAACAUUCACUCUCCCAAAAGGAUUUGAACACACAAAGGUGGAGGGAGAUCUCGUCAAGAUGGCGGCGUAAGGAGACUCUGAACUCAUCUUCUCCCAUGAACACAACCACGUUACAACUAUUUUUGGAAAAAUUAUCCUGGAUAGAAAACUGAAAACUG
rnacentral:lncRNA from 1 species